UGAUUAGAAACCCAUUAGUUGAAAGCUUUGGAUAAUAUAUAUAGUCUUAGAAAACCCUUAUAAUUCUAAAUCUUAUGAUGGAGAAAAUUCUUAUACUGAGACAUCAAGCUGUAACAUCUGUUAACAUCACAAAGAUGUUGUUGUAACUCAUGGAGUCCCCAUAAUGACACCUAAGAUGAGCCAGGCUCAAAAACAGAAUUAGGACUCACAGUCAUGCUGAGAAAAAUGUUCCACUAUGUUUGCCUUAUGAAAUAUAGUAAUAUAAAAGGAUGUGAUGUAAACCAUAUUUCAGGAAGAGAGUAACAAAGAUGUAAAACAAAAAUGGAGUGGUUACACGUCUGAGAUGCGCAUGUCCUUAUAUGUGUGGGAAUGCUAUUAAUGAAGAACACCUUGAAUCAGGAAUGCGUGUGCUCUCCACUUUUUCAUCAACAAGUCUCCGGAAAUUUAACUAGUUUUAGAUAAAGCUUUUCAUGAGAUUUCACAAAGAGCACCACGACAUCCAGGUGUCCCACCACAGGAACAAGACUGAUAAUCAACUACUUGGAAAUAAUGGAAACCAGAACUCUAAGGAACCCACAGAAGGUCAGUUCUCAAAUCACCAGCCACUGGGGAGCAAAUGAGCCAACCUCAAAAUUCACAAGCAGUUACAGUGCUGUGUGUCUCCCAUGUGUACUGGACACUGUGUCGUAUGGGGCUCCUCAUGUUGACUCCACCCAAGAGAGAACACCUGAUUGGCCAGGCUUGGAUCAUGUGACCAUCACUUACCCAGAGGAUGGAGGACAAUCUCACCAAAAGGGCCCACUCAUAUGGGAGAGGGAAUUCCCCCAAAGAGAAUCUGGUUCUGUCACCAGAAGAGAGGGGAAUGAAUGCAGGGCAGAGAAAAACAGCAGGUGCCCAUGA
rnacentral:lncRNA from 13 species